rnacentral:rRNA from 1 species
UACGGGGGGGGCAAGCGUUGUUCGGAAUUACUGGGCGUAAAGGGCUCGUAGGCGGCCAACUAAGUCAGACGUGAAAUCCCUCGGCUUAACCGGGGAACUGCAUCUGAUACUGGAUGGCUUGAGUUCGGGAGAGGGAUGCGGAAUUCCAGGUGUAGCGGUGAAAUGCGUAGAUAUCUGGAGGAACACAGGUGGCGAAGGCGGCAUCCUGGACCGACACUGACGCUGAGGAGCGAAAGCCAGGGGAGCAAACGGG